ensembl:lncRNA
GCAACAUAUGUAAAGGCAAAGGACUACCUGAAAAAGUCCUUACUGUGUUUAACAUCAGACAUACAGUCAGAGGCUGAAGACCCUAUCAGAAGGAAAAAAAGGCCAAACUCACGCUACCUGCAGGAGCCAGCUGGAAGAGUCCAGACCACUACGGGCCCGCCGCAACACUUUUUUGAAGGUGUGGACACUGAUGACGAGGCACCACCCCCCCCAAGAAAAACAGCACGACAAUCUGUAGAUGUUGGGCCAGUGUUUCAUUUUUUUCAGACAUCAAUAGUGAGUGGCUAUUUGGGCCAUCGACCACCCAAAGAGCUCAAUCAAAUGGCAGCCAGAGACUUGAGCUACUACAUCUAGAUACAGUCCAACCAAGCCACCAGCUAUUGCAUGAUAUGGGAAUAUCUAAAGUCGUGGAGCUGCUUUCCAAAGUGCUGGAAGAAAAUAAAUUGAUGAAAGCGGGAAAUUACCAACCUGGGGAGUGAAGUGAGGGCGCUUAGGAGAGAGAUGGUGAGGCCGGUAGCACCAGAAGCUGCCGCUUCGUCCAUCAAGCUGCCUCUGAGGACAAUGGAGGAGUUUCAAUUAGCAGAGGCUGUUAUGAGAGAAACCCCCUGCGAAAAACAAAAGAUGAUCUUAACAUUCAGUCUAAUUGGAGGGCACACUGCAGAAGAGGCCGUAAGAAGGAUGUUGCAGAGUGGCCUAACAAAUAACCUGGCGUGUCGCUUCAACUGGGCAGGGAAAGGCUUCAAGGAAGCCUUUAAAAGCACUGUCCUUAGUGAUGUACUGUUCGCUGCACUCCAAAAACAGCUGCCAGGGACCACCCAUAUUGUUUUUUUCAGGGACACUGAAGAAGUGGCUUAAAUAUGCACCGGAGAGAGAGGGAGGUGGAGGGAGGCGAACAAAUGAACGCGAUCAGGCGCCGCAGGAUCCUCGACCAUGAAUGAAUGUGUGUGUGUAAAUAAUAAUUAUAUUCGUUAGAAUAAUAGGGUUAAUUGGGUUUGGGUUGUUCGUGUUCGGUUAUCACGUUGUAUUGUUCAUUAUUGUCGCCACCGUUGUUGUGUCAUGUUUGUUUGUUGGGUGCUCUAUGUGAGAGGAUUUUAAUAAAAGUAGUCUGCGUCGAGGGGUGUACGGGGCGCAGAACUACAGUUAAAUAAAGCCUGACUGUGCGUUUCUUGGCCGCCGCUACAAUAUGUUUGACAACAAUAGCCUAUGUUCUGUGUAUUCAUAUAUUCAUUAGAGCCUUGAAGGAGAUUCAGUAGCCUUAAAAUCCUAAUUUAAUUGUAGAGUCAUAUCAUGAUGUCCUUUAAAUAAAUCAGUGAGUGAAGAACCAACAUCGACC